rnacentral:rRNA from 1 species
UACGUAGGGUGCAAGCGUUGUCCGGAAUUAUUGGGCGUAAAGAGCUCGUAGGCGGUUUGUCGCGUCUGCUGUGAAACGCGAGGCUCAACCUCGCGCCUGCAGUGGGUACGGGCAGACUAGAGUGCGGUAGGGGAGAUUGGAAUUCCUGGUGUAGCGGUGGAAUGCGCAGAUAUCAGGAGGAACACCGAUGGCGAAGGCAGAUCUCUGGGCCGUAACUGACGCUGAGGAGCGAAAGCAUGGGAGCGAACAGG